rnacentral:lncRNA from 1 species
CCUAGGGUUUGAUCUCAUUGGGAAGCAAAGGUAGCUUCAUUAUACUCUAAAAAGCCCAUUAGAACCAUCUUUAAACUAAUCAAAACCCUACUUAGGGUUUCACCAUGAGAGGUGAUGAAGCUCACCUCAAGCUUCACCAUUUCCAUGGCCACGAUCUCAAAAGAAGCAAAAGAAAAGCUUCCAAUACACAAAUGGUUCCAUAAAACCCAUUUCAAGCUUAAUCCAAACCCUAGAUUAGGUUCCACCAUGAUUAGGGUUCAAAGCUUACCUUGUAAGCUCUCCUUUUCCAAGCUAGAGAUGAGGGAGAGGGAGUUUCUUCACUUCCUCUUCUUCUUCUCCACUUUCUUCUCCUUCUUUUCCUUCCUUUUCUUGUCUUCUUCCUCUCUUUCUUUGUCUUCUAGAGAGAGAAAGAGGGAGAGAAGAGAGUGUUUGAGAGGGUGAGAAUGAGAGAAAAUCUCAUUAGCCCUCAUAACAUAGCUAUUGGGUUGCAUAAUUGCAAAUAAACCCCUCAACUUUCACUUUAAUACACUGUCCGAACUGGGCAGUUCG